rnacentral:rRNA from 1 species
CCAGACUCCUACGGGAGGCAGCAGUGGGGAAUAUUGCACAAUGGGGGAAAGCCUGAUGCAGCGACGCCGCGUGAGCGAAGAAGUAUUUCGGUAUGUAAAGCUCUAUCAGCAGGGAAGAAAAUGACGGUACCUGACUAAGAAGCCCCGGCUAACUACGUGCCAGCAGCCGCGGUAAUACGUAGGGGGCAAGCGUUAUCCGGAUUUACUGGGUGUAAAGGGAGCGUAGACGGCGAUGCAAGCCAGAUGUGAAAGCCCGGGGCUCAACCCCGGGACUGCUUUUGGAACUGUUUGGCUGGAGUGCAGGAGGGGAAGGCGGAAUUCCUGGUGUAGCGGUGAAAUGCGUAGAUAUCAGGAGGAACACCGGGGGCGAGGGGGGC